rnacentral:sRNA from 1 species
GUUUGUCCAUCCAUAGCGUCGACAAGGAAUAUUUCUCAUCAUCAGCGGUCUUAAGUUUUCCUACCCAAUACCGACUCGGCGACUUAAAUAUGUGUUGAACGACAUGGGUAGGAAUCAUAGUGGUAAGACAGAUCUUCCCUUUGCUUCGUUGAACCCUUUCUUAUUCUUGCAUUCUACAAAAUGACAUUACGAGUGCCUCGGUCAAAUAGCGUCACCACACACAAUCAACUGCUGUCCCAUAUUUUCUCCCUCUCUAUCUUGUUCCUGGAAGGAAAUUUCUCCGCCCAUCCAGGUGAACCGGAAGAAUAAGGCGCCAAGGUGCCAAUACGUGUCUGCAAACGCUCAAGGAUCAAACAAAGAAAAGAUCUGAUAUCGGAAAAGGGAUAUCCAAUUCCUUGUUUGCGUCUCCCACAUCGUUUCACUGAUGUGUCAGGCUAAAAAUUUCCCUCCCAAUCCAGCUUUGUGAAACCAAUGGCAAGGGGCGAAGCUCCAGAAUUCAGGGCAAAUGUCACCACGACUGGCCAAUGACGCAGUCGUCAUUCCGAGUUGCAAUAUCAUCGUCGGGCUCAUUUUAUAUUUUUAAGCAUCCUGUUGGUGAUCAACUUGAUACUAUUACUGUUUCUAGCUACUUUAGAGAGGUGAAUGAUAAUCAUGUGAUCGUGUAUGUCACGUGACGAAGACACCAUGGCGCCAGCAGAAGUGCCACCACAUGCUAUCAUACUGUAGCUUAGUGUUCGCCUUUCACAAUUCUCAAAAAUAUUCACCGCACAGCGGCAGGUUAAAUAUGAAGGGUCAAUGAAUGCUGAUCGCGGCCUUGUUGCUGGUUGACGAAGCAGCAUUGUUUCUUGCUGUUGCCCAAGCACAUCUUUCGCAUCUGAACCACAUAACGACAGCGAAUGAGAAGUCAUACCACGACCCUAAGGGCUUGGUUGGUUCCAUGUGGUUUCCACAGCCAACCAGCAAGAGAUAUCAACCGA